rnacentral:rRNA from 1 species
GACGAACGCUGGCGGCGUGCCUAAUACAUGCAAGUAGAACGCAGUUGCGAACGGGUGAGUAACGCGUAGGUAACUGCCUGGUAGCGGGGGAUAACUAUUGGAAACGAUAGCUAAUACCGCAUACUACCAGAUGGACCUGCGUUGUAUUAGCUAGUUGGUGGGGUAACGGCUCACCAAGGCAACGAUACAUAGCCGACCUGAGAGGGGGGUCGGCCAAACUGGGACUGGGACACCGGCCAGACGUCUACGGGAGGCAGCAGUAGGGAAACUGCGGCAAUGGGGGGAACGCUGACCGAGCAACGGCGCGUGAGUGAAGAAGGUUUUCGGAGCGGAAAGCUCUGUUGUUAAGGAAGCGGUACUUAAACAGGAAGGGACGGCUAACUACGUGCCAGCAGCCGCGGUAAUUC